GAGCGGUCAAACAACAAUAUGAAUUGCUUAAGUCAUAGAAAGAUGAAGAAAUCAGAGAGGUCAAUGAGCGAUAUAAUCUCUAGAGUUUCGAAUAGAAUUGAUCUUGCGACGCCUCAACCUCAAUCACAAUCGGGUUCCUCCUGUACCUUCCACUAAUCAAUUAGGUGAUGGGCACAAUGAUGAACAGCACAAUGAUAACGAGAUUGCUGAUGAUGAUGAUGAUUUUGUCAGUCGUCUUAUUGAUUAAACAGCAUGCUUGAAGAGAGAUGCUUUCACGGACAUCUCUCCUGUCUGAACUGGUAAGAUUGGAAGUGUCUUUUCAUAUCUAUUUAUUAAUAGUUUGAGUGGAUAUGCACUCUUGCUGUUAUUUUGUGCCAAAAUUCACAACUUUGCACUCGUGGUAGCCACACCUUUUAAUCUGUAUAAAUCUAAUCUAUGCAAAAGUUCUCUUAUC